UGCUUGGAAAUUCUCAUGGCCUGAAAAAUCAAAACCAACAGCUGGCUGAAGAGGGAUUCUGAGGAGUUGGGAUCAUUCUAGAAUUCUGACGCUGUGUGGCUCGUUCCUCUGAUCCUGUGACACCUUAUAAGAAACCUUUUUGGAGAAAACGUGCUGAGAAGGAAGGAACAUAACCAGAAAACAAAGAAGGAGCCAAGCUUGCUAAGCGCCACGAACAGGUGCUGACUGAGAACAAAUGUUCAGGACACGCAGUGAGGAGAGAGAAAGG